UACGAAGGGGGGCUAGCGUUGUUCGGAAUUAUUGGGCGUAAAGAGCUCGUAGGCGGUCUGUCGCGUCGGCUGUGAAAACCCGGGGCUCAACCCCGGGCCUGCAGUCGAUACGGGCAGACUAGAGUGCGGUAGGGGAGACUGGAAUUCCUGGUGUAGCGGUGAAAUGCGCAGAUAUCAGGAGGAACACCGGUGGCGAAGGCGGGUCUCUGGGCCGUAACUGACGCUGAGGAGCGAAAGCAUGGGGAGCGAACAGG
rnacentral:rRNA from 1 species